rnacentral:tRNA from 1 species
GCGUCCUUAGCUCAGCGGUAGAGCACCACCUUGACACGGUGGGGGUCGAUGGUUCGAGACCAUCAGGACGCA